rnacentral:rRNA from 1 species
UACGUAGGGGGCAAGCGUUGUCCGGAAUCAUUGGGCGUAAAGAGCGUGUAGGCGGCCAGGUAGGUCUGCUGUGAAAACUCGAGGCUUAACCUCGAGCUGUCGGCGGAAACCAUCUGGCUAGAGUCCGGAAGAGGAGAAUGGAAUUCCCGGUGUAGCGGUGAAAUGCGUAGAUAUCUGCAGGAACACCCGUGGCGAAAGCGGCGAGCUGGAUCACUACUGACGCUGAGGUGCGAAAGCGUGGGGAGCAAACAGG